rnacentral:rRNA from 1 species
CGCUACUUCGGCGACAGCGUUCGCACCGGCAGGCUGCUCGGCGAGGAGGGGCGCGCCGCCGAGAACGUCUACAUACAGAAGAUGGAGAGGGAGAAACUGGAGAAGCUGAGGAGGAAAGCGGACCAGGAAAAGGCCGACGCCGCAAAGCAGGAGGCUGCUGGCAAAGGCAACCAGAAGUGUGAGGGAGCUCAUCCAAGCUGA